rnacentral:rRNA from 1 species
CUCCCUUCGGGGAGCAAGUAGAGUGGCGCACGGGCGAGUAACACGUAGGUAAUCUACCUUUGGAUGGGGAAUAACAACCGGAAACGGUUGCUAAUACCGCAUAAUGCAGCGGCACCUAAUGGUGACAGUUGUUAAAGCGGGGGAUCGCAAGACCUCGCGUCUGAAGAGGAGCCUGCGGCAGAUUAGCUAGUUGGUAGGGUAACGGCUUACCAAGGCGAUGAUCUGUAGCCGGCCUGAGAGGGCGGUCGGCCACACUGACACUGACAUACGGGUCAGACUCCUACGGGAGGCAGCAGUCGGGAAUUUUGGGCAAUGGGCGAAAGCCUGACCCAGCAACGCCGCGUGAAGGAUGAAAUCCCUCGGGAUGUAAACUUCGCAAGAACGGGAAGAAUAAGUCUGCGCAAAUAUCGCAGAUGAUGACGGUACCGUUUGUAAGCUCCGGCUAACUCCGUGCCAGCAGCCGCGGUAAUACGGGGGGAGCAAGCGUUGUUCGGAUUUACUGGGCGUAAAGGGCGCGUAGGCGGCCACCGCAAGUCGACUGUGAAAUCUCCGGGCUUAACCCGGAACGGUCAGCCGAUACUGCGGGGCUAGAGUGCAGAAGGGGCAACUGGAAUUCUCGGUGUAGCGGUGAAAUGCGUAGAUAUCGAGAGGAACACCUGCGGCGAAGGCGGGUUGCUGGGCUGACACUGACGCUGAGGCGCGAAAGCUAGGGGAGCGAACGGGAUUAGAUACCCCGGUAGUCCUAGCCUUAAACGAUGAAUGCUUGGUGUCUGGGGUUUUAUAGUCCCCGGGUGCCGUCGCU